AGCGGUAGAGAGAAGCUUGCUUCUCUUGAGAGCGGCGGACGGGUGAGUAAUGCCUAGGAAUCUGCCUGGUAGUGGGGGAUAACGUUCGGAAACGAACGCUAAUACCGCAUACGUCCUACGGGCAGAAAGCAGGGGACCUUCGGNCCUUGCGCUAUCAGAUGAGCCUAGGUCGGAUUAGCUAGUUGGUGAGGUAAUGGCUCACCAAGGCGACGAUCCUUAACUGGUCUGAGAGGAUGAUCAGUCACGCUGGAACUGACACGCGGUCCAGACUCCUACGGGAGGCAUCGUUGGGGAAUAUUGGACAAUGGGGGAAAGCCUGAUCCGCCCAUGCCUCGUGUGUGA
rnacentral:rRNA from 1 species